rnacentral:rRNA from 1 species
UACGUAGGGUGCAAGCGUUGUCCGGAAUUAUUGGGCGUAAAGAGCUUGUAGGCGGUUUGUCGCGUCUGCUGUGAAAUUUCGGGGCUCAACCCCGAACUUGCAGUGGGUACGGGCAGACUAGAGUGUGGUAGGGGAGACUGGAAUUCCUGGUGUAGCGGUGAAAUGCGCAGAUAUCAGGAGGAACACCGGUGGCGAAGGCGGAUCUCUGGGCCUUGCCUGACGCUGAGGCGCGAAAGCUAGGGGAGCGAACAGG